CUCCCUGUGGUUCUGCUGCCUCCGCUCCUCUCUGCGCAGGCUCACGUUCUGCCCAGCGAAUGACGUUCUUUCUUAAAGGCCCAACCGCUCAGCGAUGACUCCAGAUAGAUUCCUUAACUGAACUUCAGCGGCUGCCUGCCGUUCAGACCUCUAAGACAUCGUCUUUUUGAAGUCUUCUACCAACAGAUCUCGCUGAGAAACAAUAUGAAAUAAAAAAUACUUUUUCCUCUAGGAUUUUUUUAGUAACCCAAGGGUGCUGUGUUUUCUUCUUGGUCUGCGUGAUAAGAAGAGUAACAGCUAAGGACAGUAGCACACAUGUGUAAUUCCAGAGGCUAAAGCAGGAGGAUUGCAAACUUGAGUAGAGCCUGGGCAAUUUAGAAGCUUAGCAAGACCCUGUCUCAAAACAGAAAACAGAAGAAGGAAGAGAUACCACACAGCAAUUACCUCUUAUGAAACUACUUUUUGGUAUAGAUGCUAAAGAAAACUAUUCACAAUUCUCUGGAAAUACUGAAAUGUUCUUCUUUUUGCCAAAAGCAUAUCCUUAGGAGGUCAAAUCUUCUUUAUAUUUCAACCAAAAAUAGCAGAUUGGAAGCAAAACCAGGUAAUCUUUUAGCCACAAUGAAUAUUGAAGAGAAGAGAAGGCAAGGGACAGAAGGAGAGAGUAUACCAAGAAUUAGAAGGGCCUGGUACAUGCUAGGAAAGCACUAUACCAUAGAGCUGUGCCCCCAGCCCUCAUGCUUUAAUACAAUCACCUGUGCCAUUGUCUCGAGAGGUGCCUGGAGGAGGUGAGAGAUUUGUUAGAAAGACUGUGUUGAUAGAUGAUGGUGGAUUUAAGCAGGCUGGAGCAAUGGAAGAGGAGUUAACAAUAUAACCACAAGCCUGGAAGUCACUUCAAGGAGUCCUAGUCCACCUUCCCACCCAGCCUUCCACCAACUCUGAGCAACCGGAAAAGGAAGUGUUAUUGCUCAGGAACAAGCCUGGUGCUGAGUACAGUGGCAAAUCUGAUCUGAAGUUACCUUAGAAGACCAAUCAUUGCAGGAAUAUCCAUACUGACUUAAAAUUGAUCAAAGACCUAGUUAUAAGACCUGAAACUUUGAUACUGCUAGAAGAAAACAUAAAGGGAAUACCUGAAGUAAUAGGCCCAAGUAAAACUUUCUGAAUAGAACUCCAACAGCACAGGAAAUAAUAACAAAAAUCAAUAAAUGCACAGUAAAGGAAGCAAUCAACAGAAUGAAGACUAAUCAACAGAAUGAAGAGUAAAGGAAGCAAUCAACAGAAUGAAGAGCAGAAUGAAGAGCAAUCCCAUUACAGAAUGGGAGCAAAUCUUUGCCAGCUACUCUUCUGACAGAGAAUCAGUCUCUAGAAUACAUAAAGAACUAAAAAAGCUUAACACCAAAAAUAUCCCAACCAAUAAAUGGGCAAAUAAAUGGACACUUUUCAAAUAAGUACAAAUGGCCAAUAAGUGUACACUUCCCUUUUAGUCCUCAGGGUCUCCUACAACUUUAAAAAAAACUAACAAAUUCAAGGUGGAGUUUAAAAGGCAUGUGAGAAAAUUAAGGGCAAGGAGGUCCAGGAGAGGUAUAUGUAUUUAGAAAUUGGCCUGCCCUCGCAUCAUGCUUAUCAACUUGUGAAACCUCCUACAACCUGUUAUUGUGACCCUGGAACAGAGCUGAUGAUCCAUCCCAUAGUGAGAAAUAAAAUGCCUAAUUCUUGAUCUGCACUUGUGCAGUUCCUGUCAGGCCUUGGAUGUCCUUAGGACACAGUUACAUCCUUCUUUUUGUACCCUAAUUUAGUUCACUUUCUGUUGCUCGGACAGAAUGCCACAGACUGGAUGAAUUAUAAAGCAUAGAAAUUUAUUUGGCUUAAAGUUUUGGAGGCUUGCAAGUUGAUAACAAUGGCAAGGGGCUCUGUGCUAUAUCAUGACACAUGAGACAGAAAAAAAGGGAAAGAGGAAACCAAACUCAAACACAGUCUCUAGCUAACCAACCCACUUUUGUAGUAACUUAACCAUUCCCACCAUAACAUUAAACUGUUCAUGAAGGCCGAGCUCUAGUAGCUUAAUCAUCCCUUAGAUAUCUCACUUCUCAAUUCAUAUUACAAUGGCAAUUAACUUUCAACACGCUUUCUAGAUGGGACAUUCAAACUGUAGCAAACCCUUAAGUAGGUCAGCCUUAUCAGCCUUGCUGUUGGUGUGGUUCUAAUUCCGGGGUCAAACACUUUGGAAACUGAACCCCUUUCCCCACUGCACACAUGAUACUUUAGACCCUCUAAGCUUGAUUUGUCAGUUUUUCAGCAUUCAGCACAAAGCAUUCCAAUAGAGCCCACGGCACUGUUGUCUCUCAACAAAGUUCCUUUGUGCCAAAUGCCUUCCUCUUUUUUGCCAUCAGGCCACUUACUGGUAUGGUAUACCUGUGUUGUAGGCAGAACAGUGGUUCCCCCAAAGAUGUCCAUAUCCAAAUCCCUAGAAUCUAUAAAUCUGUUGGUUUACGUGACAGAGGAAAAUGAACGUUGCAGAUGGAAUUAAGGUUGCAGUGUGAGACCUAACUAACUCCAUUUUAAAGUUUGACUCCAUCUUAAAAUAAGACAGUGAAGUGGCCUUGACAUAAAUUCUACUUUACUGAAAUCAGCUAUUCCCCUAGUCUCCUUUGUGCCCAUAAAAUAAUGAUAAAAUGUCCUUGCUGUGGGACAACAGAUAAAUAAAGACACAGCUCCUAACUCAAUCCUCUGUCUGUCCAAAAAACAGAUGCUCCCGGCCCAUU
ensembl:lncRNA